AGUUCAGUCCAUCAAAGAAUUCAUAUCUUGAUAGAUAUUAAGACAACAUAUUUGAGAUUGUGAAGUAGAAAAUAUGCUAGGGUCCGCUUGCAUCACACAACCAAAGAUAAUGUGAACUUAUACUCAAAUCAAUAAUUCACAUUGAACCAGUGACCAGGGAAUCCUGUUUCUUAAUUGGCAUUCAGUUGUGUCUGAUAAUAAUUAACAUUGCUCAUACUUGUUGCAUUGGUGGUAUUUUGGAGGUCCAGAUGAGUAGAUCUUGAUAAUGUGAAAUUGUGAAUUAAAGCUUGGUGGGGACGGUCACUUCAAUAGUGUUUAUUGCAGAAGUUUAUUCUUUUGAGAUUAUAGCAAUGAGAAUAGCAUAUCACAAUUAGUAAUAACCAACGUGGUUGAUUGGGCAAUUCUGACCUUUUUUUUUUGGGUAAUUACAGCUUAGAGUAUCGUCAGACUUUGUUCAAGCUGCAUUCCCUCUUCAGAUGAUUAAAUAGGCAUACUCUUUUUGCAUUGGAUGAUGCAUUUAAGAUUUCAUUUCCUACUUUCCAAAGAAAUUCAUCCCAAGAUUCUGAUGCAUUUGAAGCUGAAAAUUUGAAGCGAUUGGCUAGCUCCAAGAGCCAUGGAUGUGGUGUGAUUUGUUCAUUGAUGCUUUUUUGACACUUGCUCGAGUGCUUUUGUUUGCUUUUCGUGGCCUGAGUGAUGACAACCCUAGAACGCUCCAGGUGAAGAGAGAAAGCACAUCCCCUCUCCACAGCCAGCGUGAAGUUCUUAUGGCACAUUUUUCAGCUAGAUAUCUUGUGCAGAGUCCUAACAUGGUUUUGCUGUAGAUGCUUUUGGCGUUGAGGAUAGAGAAGUUUGAAGUGCAAGAUCACAUGUCCUUCCGUAUGUGGCUCGUGGAAUCAAAGAUUCGAAGAUUCCAAUUCUCCAAGCAGAUGUUCUUUUUUUUUCAUUCAUUAUAGGAUGCCAUCUUCUAAAUCUGCUUCUUGUUAUUUAUUUUUUAUAGUGCAAGCAUUAAUUGUGUAUUUAAUUGACGUUAUGUUGUUAUAUGCCAACCUUCAUCACUUGUAUGUUAGUCACAACAUUUCUAGGUAGAAACUAUGAAUGCUGGAUUUUUUUUUUUUUUAAACAAUAAUAAAAGAAGAUACCAGGAUCUUUUGUA